UACGUAGGGCGCAAGCGUUGUCCGGAAUUAUUGGGCGUAAAGAGCUCGUAGGUGGUCUGUUGCGUCCGCUGUGAAAACCCAGGGCUUAACCCUGGGCUGGCAGUGGAUACGGGCAGACUAGAGGUAGGUAGGGGAGAAUGGAAUUCCCGGUGUAGCGGUGAAAUGCGCAGAUAUCGGGAGGAACACCGGUGGCGAAGGCGGCCCACUGGGCUGUCACUGACGCUGAGGCGCGAAAGCUCGGGGAGCGAACGGG
rnacentral:rRNA from 1 species